rnacentral:rRNA from 1 species
AGCAGCCGCGGUAAUUCCAGCUCCAAUAGCGUAUAUUAAAGUUGCUGCAGUUAAAAAGCUCGUAGUUGAAUUUCGGGACCAAUAUGUCGGUCGUGCCUCGGUACGUACUGGCAUCGUUGGUUUCUCCCUUCUGACGAACCAUGAUGUCAUUCAUUUGGUGUCGUGGGAAUCAGGACUGUUACUUUGAAAAAAUUGAGUGUUUAAAGCAGGCUACACGCUUGAAUACAUUAGCAUGGAAUAAUGAAAUAGGACGUUUGAUUCUAUUUUGUUGGUUUCUAGGAUCGACGUAAUGAUUAAGAGGGAUAGGUUGGGGGCAUUAGUAUUCAAUUGUCAGUAGGUGAAAAUUUCUUGGAAUUUUAUGAAGACUAACUACUGACGAAAGC